CUGUUCAACCUCUGCCGCCUCUCUUUAUAAUAUGUCUGUACAAGUAAUUCUCCAAGUGCAUGGUGACUACUUAUAUAGGAGCUUGGAUUUCUUUCUUCUUUCUAAAAGGAGAAGAUGAUCUGCUGGUUUAUGCUGACCUCUUGUGUCUAUGGGUUGUAUGUCGUGAGGGGGGCUUCAACCUUCUAUCAGGCAGAGAAGAACAAAAAAGUCACAAUAAAAUGGGACAGUCAGAUCAAACCUGACAUGUCUUCCACCAACCUGGUGUGUGUUUUCAAGUCAGAGGUUAAUAGGGUUUUAUUCCAUAUGAUAAAUGGUGUUGAGGUCCCAGAGUCUCAGGAUGAACAGUUUGCAGGACGAGUCCAGUGGGACAAAGAUGUCCUCAGAGAAGGACGACUCAGACUUCAUGUGUCCAGACUCAGGACUGAAGACUCGGGAAAUUACUGGUGUAAAUUAACCACCAUUUAUGGCGAGACCAUGGCAAACGAAACAUUUGUUUUGAACGUAACCACAACAAAGUCUAGACUGACAACUCAUAUAGGUGAGUCAAGACUGAGACCUCCACUUACACUUAUUGUACCCAAAACUAUCAUCAUUUCCUAAACCUAACCAGGUAGUUUCGUUUCCAUUCACAACGUUAACCACAUGAUAAAAACUGUGACUAUUUCACAUCCUGCACCUCUAGCUGGUACUCUACAACGGGAAGUCUUUGGCAAACUGUUGACCCUUCUGUUACGUAUGAGGAUGUAUCAGUUUCAUGUCAACAAAAAUAGUUUGAAAUGAAAAUGAGUUUACUCCAAAGCCCAGCUUCCUUAUUUUCUGGGAAAAACAAGCAAAGUCCUAAAGCUUCAGAAAAUGAAAUUACCGUCACUUCCAAUAUAUAAAUAAACGUGUUCAUAGUGUCACCCUCUGGCCCAGAUUUUCAUUGGUAAGAUGGUGGUGCUAUAAUUUUUGAAUUUCACUGCAUGAUAGGGCACUGAUUGCUGAAAUCUUUUGAGACACCAACAUUUACUUGUACUUUUU